rnacentral:pre_miRNA from 1 species
AGUAGGAUAGCUGGGUCAACUGGUGGUUCCAUUCCAAGUUUUCUGAGGAAUUUCUAUACUACUUACCAUAGUGGUUACACCAAUUUGCAGUCCCACCAGUAAU